GAUGAACGCUGGCGGCGUGCCUAAUACAUGCAAGUCGAGCGAACGGACGAGAAGCUUGCUUCUCUGAUGUUAGCGGCUGACGGGUGAGUAACACGUGGAUAACCUACCUAUAAGACUGGGAUAACUUCGGGAAACCGGAGCUAAUACCGGAUAAUAUUUUGAACCGCACGGUUCAAAAGUUAAAGACGGUCUUGCUGUCACUUAUAGAUGGAUCCGCGCUGCAUUAGCUAGUUGGUAAGUUAACGGCUUACCAAGGCAACAAAAAAUAGCCGACCAGAGAGGGUGGUCGGCAAACCUGCAAAGGAAACACAGUCCAGGCGCCUACGGGAGGCGGCAGAAGAAAAUAUUCCACAAUAGGCGGAAGGCUGACGAGGCAACGCCACAUAAGUGAUGAAGGGCUUCGAUUCUUAAAACUAUGUUAUUAAGGAAGAACAUAUAAGAAAGUAACUGUGAACGUCUUGACAGUACUUAAUCAGAGAACCACGGCUAGCUGCAUG
rnacentral:rRNA from 1 species